UACAGAGAGUGCGAACGUUGUUCGGAAUUACUGGGCUUAAAGCGCACGUAGGCGGUGCCGCAAGUGUUGGGUAAAAUCCCACGGCUUACCCGUGGAACUGCCUGGCAAACUGCGGUGCUAGAGGAUGGUAGGGGAGAGCGGAACUCCUGGUGGAGCGGUGAAAUGCGUAGAUAUCAGGAGGAACACCGGUGGCGAAGGCGGCUCUCUGGUCCAUUUCUGACGCUGAGGUGCGAAAGCUAGGGGAGCAAACGGGAUUAGAUACCCCGGUAGUCCUAGCUGUAAACGAUGGGCACUAGUUUGGGGUCUCCCUGUGGGAUCCCAGGCGAAACAAAAGUGAUAAGUGCCCCGCCUGGGGAGUAUGGUCGCAAGGCUG
rnacentral:rRNA from 1 species